AUGGUAGAUUUGUUUGGCCCACCACCUCUUUUGGUUAAUGGAACUAUUUUAACUUUGGAACAUGUGAUGCAAAGGAUUGAAAUUAUUGAAAAUAAAGUUGCCUCUGUGGAGUUGAUUGAAAAUUUUGAUAAGAAGAUCCACAACCAAAUCACCCAAUAUGGAUCUAAGGUAGGAGUUACUCUGAAUUUUUUUAAAGAAAAAGAACCUAUAGUUAACAAAAGAAUAGAUCAAGAUUCCACAAGAAUUGGUAAACUUGAGGAUAUUAUUACCAAUUUAUGCUCUUCCUUUUCGUCCAUGAAAAAUACUCCAAAUCCUCCUACCAUCAAAAUUGCCAAAUUAAUGUAUGUUCCUAAAAAUAAUGGUGAAUCUUCUAGUAAGGAAAAUGCGGAUCUCAAAUCAAUAAGUGUUCACCCCAACUUCUUCGCUAUCAUUAAUGAACCUUUUGAUACAAAUGAAUUUCUUGAUUUCUUGCCUAGGAGUUUGAUCAUUAAUAAAAAGAAGGAAACUCCCAAGGGUUAUAUGUGUUCUAUUAAAAAAUUUCCUACCAAAUAUGAUAAUACGUAG
rnacentral:rRNA from 1 species